rnacentral:rRNA from 1 species
GUCUACGGCCAUACCACCCUGAAUGCGCCCGAUCUCAUCUGAUCUCGGAAGCUAAGCAGGGUCGGGCCUGGUUAGUACUUGGAUGGGAGCCAGAUUCCCAUCUCUCUGCCUGCCUCUCUGGCUACUUGUGGUCU